GACGUAGGGCGCGAGCGUUGUCCGGAUUUAUUGGGCGUAAAGAGCUCGUAGGCGGCUUGUCGCGUCGACUGUGAAAUCCCGUGGCUCAACUGCGGGUCUGCAGUCGAUACGGGCAGGCUAGAGUUCGGUAGGGGAGACUGGAAUUCCUGGUGUAGCGGUGAAAUGCGCAGAUAUCAGGAGGAGCACCGAUGGCGAAGGCAGGUCUCUGGGCCGAUACUGACGCUGAGGAGCGAAAGCGUGGGGAGCGAACAGG
rnacentral:rRNA from 1 species